AGUAAUACUCGAUGUUUUUACAUCUAUUUACAUCGAUAGUUCCCUUGCUCAUUUUUCAGCACUGGUUAUCAAAAAACAUAAACAUCGGAAAAUUUCGCAAACUUUAUUGCAAAAACAAUUAAAAUGGGUUAAUUCUAGCAUUUAGAACCUCAGUAAAACGAUAAACAAUCAUGGCGGAUAGUGUAGCAGAACUCCAUUCUUACGCUGCAAGCCGAAGUACCACUCAUCGGAAGUCAAAGUACGGACUGGCUAGGUCUUCCUCGUGGGAGAAAAGCUGGAUGGAACCCAAAUGACAGACCACGCGGAACUACGUGCGCCCUAUGGUGCUGCGCGGUAGCCAGCUCUGGAACAUAUGAUCCAUGCUGCUUUCCCACCCGCGCAAGAUUUCACAGAUUUUGGAAGGAUAUGGCGGAUUCUGUAGCAGAUUUUGGAAGCGAUGCAUACACACACUGACUGCCAAAACAAAUACUGACUAGCAUUACGUCCCCAAUGCGCAGUUUGAAGAGUCCGAGCGGCAAAAAUUAAGUUUGGAGGUCCCGCAUUGAGAUGAGGAUGAACAGCGACACGCACGCGACACGCACAGAAUGCAAGUAUAUCAGCUGAACGCAUCGAUAUAAUUUAUGGGCAAUCUAUUGUGUGUUUUCUCCCUCCUCAGUUGACAAAUGAAAAGGAUGCGAGCAAUGUACAUCAAGAUCGCAUACUGACUAUCCUCGUUAUCGAUGCCCAUUGGCUGCUUCUUUUACAACAGAGCCAGUCUGCCAAUGUGCUCAAGAUCUACGAUUGCUUUGACUUCAUCAGCUUCCGCUUUCCCGCAUUCCCGCUAUGAGGACAUGUCCAGGAAGU